UACGGGGGGAGCAAGCGUUGUUCGGAUUUACUGGGCGUAAAGGGCGCGUAGGCGGCCACCGCAAGUCGACUGUGAAAUCUCCGGGCUUAACCCGGAAAGGUCAGCCGAUACUGCGGGGCUAGAGUGCAGAAGGGGCAACUGGAAUUCUCGGUGUAGCGGUGAAAUGCGUAGAUAUCGAGAGGAACACCUGCGGCGAAGGCGGGUUGCUGGGCUGACACUGACGCUGAGGCGCGAAAGCGUGGGGAGCGAUCCGG
rnacentral:rRNA from 1 species